GGACGCAAGUCUGAUCCAGCCAUUCCGCGUGCAGGANGAAGGCCCUCGGGUUGUAAACUGCUUUUGUACGGAACGAAAAGGUCUCUAUUAAUACUAGGGGCUCAUGACGGUACCGUAAGAAUAAGCACCGGCUAANUACGUGCCAGCAGCCGCGGUAAUACGUAGGGUGCAAGCGUUAAUCGGAAUUACUGGGCGUAAAGCGUGCGCAGGCGGUUAUAUAAGACAGAUGUGAAAUCCCCGGGCUCAACCUGGGAACUGCAUUUGUGACUGUAUAGCUAGAGUACGGUAGAGGGGGAUGGAAUUCCGCGUGUAGCAGUGAAAUGCGUAGAUAUGCGGAGGAACACCGAUGGCGAAGGCAAUCCCCUGGACCUGUACUGACGCUCAUGCACGAAAGCGUGGGGAGCAAACAGGAUUAGAUACCCUGGUAGUCCACGCCCUAAACGAUGUCAACCUGGUUGUUGGGUUUUUACUCCCUCCGUNCCG
rnacentral:rRNA from 1 species